rnacentral:tRNA from 1 species
GCUGGUGUAGCACAACUGGAAGUGCAACUGACUUGUAAUCAGGAGGUUGUGGGUUCAAUUCCCUCCAUCAGCUCCA